GGUCAGGCCCCGCCCCGCGUGCGUGCGCGGCCCUGCGGAGACGUGCAGGCGCCCGCGUAGCCUGAAGCUGAGGUGGCAGCCCUCCGGCCAACAUGGAGCUGCCGCAGAUGCCGGAGCUGAUGGGAGUGUCGCUCUUGCUCGGGCUGCUGGCCCUGAUGGCGACGGCGGCGGUAGCGCGGGGGUGGCUACGCGCAGAGGAGGAGACUAGCGGCCGGCCUGCCGGCCAAAAAGCAAAUGGAGUUCCACUUGACAAGUCCUUGAGAUCCAAGAAGCAGAAACAGCAACAGCAUAUUCGUAAGGAGAAGCCUCAACAACACAACUUCACCCACCGUCUCCUGGCUGCAGCACUGAAGAGCCACAGUGGGAACAUAUCUUGCAUGGACUUUAGCAGCAAUGGCAAGUACCUGGCCACCUGUGCAGAUGAUCGCACCGUCCGCAUCUGGAGCACGAAGGACUUCCUACAGCGGGAGCACCGCAGCAUGAGAGCCAAUGUGGAGCUGGACCAUGCCACCCUGGUGCGCUUCAGCCCUGACUGCAGAGCCUUCAUUGUCUGGCUGGCCAAUGGCGAUACCCUCCGUGUCUUCAAGAUGACCAAGCGAGAGGAUGGGGGAUAUACCUUCACAGCUACCCCAGAGGACUUUCCUAAAAAGCACAAGGCACCUGUCAUCAACAUUGGCAUUGCUGACACAGGAAAGUUCAUCAUGACUGCUUCCAGUGACACAACUGUCCUCAUCUGGAAUCUGAAAGGUCAAGUGUUGUCUACCAUUAACACCAACCAGAUGAACAAUGCACAUGCUGCUAUAUCCCCUUGUAGCAGGUUUGUGGCCUCAUGUGGCUUCACCCCGGAUGUCAAAGUUUGGGAAGUCUGCUUUGGGAAAAAAGGUGACUUCCAAGAGGUUGUACGAGCCUUUGAACUGAAGGGUCACUCAGCAGCUGUCCACUUCUUUGCUUUCUCCAAUGACUCCCGGAGGAUGGCCUCUGUCUCCAAGGACGGUACAUGGAAACUGUGGGACACAGAUGUGGAAUACAAGCUGCAGCAGGACCCCUACUUGCUGAGGACAGGCCGCUUUGAAGAGGCGAGCACCAUCCCCUGCCGCCUGGCACUGUCCCCUGAUGCUCAGGUCUUGGCUUUGGCCAGUGGCAGCAGUAUUCAUCUCUACAAUACCCGGCGGGGUGAGAAAGAAGAGUGCUUUGAGCAGGUCCAUGGGGAAUGUAUCACUGACUUGUCCUUUGAUAUCACUGGUCGACUUCUGGCCUCCUGUGGGGACCGAGCAGUGCGGCUGUUUCAUAACUCCCCUGGCCAUCGGGCAGUGGUAGAAGAAAUGCAGAGCCUCCUGAAACGGGCCUCCAAUGAGAGCACCCGCCAGAGGCUGCAACAGCAGCUAGCCCAGGCCCAGGAGGCCCUGAAGAGCCUGGGUGCCUUGAAGAAAUGACUCUGAAGGGUGUAGCAGGAAGGAUCGGGCCUUCUGUUGCCACCACUGCUGCCACUUUUCUUCCCAGGUCUCAGUUACAAUUACACUUCAGAGAGACCCUCCCUAAUCACCCAGUCUGAAGUAGUCCUUUCCACCAAUCAUAUAACAUCCAUCAUAUAAAGGUAUUUUAUUAUUUUUUAUUUCUGAGUGCUAUCUGAAAUUAUCUUAUUUGGAUAUUUGUUUGCUUCAGGAAUUUCAAUUUAAAUGCUUAUGGAUGUCAAGUGGGUAAUGUAGAUACAUGAAUUGGUGUUUCUGGGUGUAAGACAAUAGGAAAUAGUAGGGACCUAAGUGAUCCCUAGAGGGCAUGUAUACUGGGUAAGGGACAGUGGUGGCUGCUACUUAUUAUUCAGGAAUCUAGCAGAAAUUGCCUGUUUCAGAGAAGCUAGAAGUUGACAGGUUAUUACAAAGAGAAAAAAUUAAGCACUGUAUGGACCAAACAAAACACUAAUGUGAGCCAGAUGCAGCCCACCAGUCUCUUAUUAGCAGCUUCUGGAUUGUUCAUUAACCCACUGGAAUGUGAACUCCACAAAGGCAGACUCCUUGUCUAUCUGAUUUGCUCUAUAUCCCAAACACAGUACCUGGGACAGAAUAAGCUCUCAGUAAAUGAACUCAAACCAGGGCAAUUGACAGAAAUGUCAAUAUCUUCUGUAACUAUCCUCCCACUCCAGUUUUCCACUCUGGUUUUAUGUUCAUAAUAACAAAUUUCUGAUUGAUAAUGCUAUGCACAUGGGUCCUAGUGAAUAUUAGCUUUCUGAUUAUCAGAAGAAUAAGACUAAAAUACUUCUUUCAUAUCUA